rnacentral:rRNA from 1 species
AACGAACGCUGGCGGCAGGCUUAACACAUGCAAGUCGAACGCCCCGCAAGGGGAGUAGCAGACGGGUGAGUAACGCGUGGGAACAUACCCUUUUCUACGGAAUAGCUCUGGGAAACUGGAAUUAAUACCGUAUACGCCCUACGGGGGAAAGAUUUAUCGGGGAAGGAUUGGCCCGCGUUGGAUUAGCUAGUUGGUGGGGUAAAGGCCUACCAAGGCGACGAUCCAUAGCUGGUCUGAGAGGAUGAUCAGCCACAUUGGGACUGAGACACGGCCCAAACUCCUACGGGAGGCAGCAGUGGGGAAUAUUGGACAAUGGGCGCAAGCCUGAUCCAGCCAUGCCGCGUGAGUGAUGAAGGCCUUAGGGUUGUAAAGCUCUUUCACCGAUGAAGAUAAUGACGGUAGUCGGAGAAGAAGCCCCGGCUAACUUCGUG